rnacentral:rRNA from 1 species
GUUAGGAAUAUUGGACAAUGGGCGCAAGCCUGAUCCAGCCAUGCCGCGUGAGUGAUGAAGGCCUUCGGGUUGUAAAGCUCUUUAGCCGAUGAUUAUAAUGACUGUAGUCGGAAAAUAAGCCCCGGCUAACUUCGUGCCAGCAGCCGCGGUAAUACGAAGGGGGCGAGCGUUAUUCGGAAUCACUGGGCGUAAAGCGUGCGUAGGCGGCUUUGCAAGUUGGGAGGGAAAGCCCAAGGCUAAACCCUGGAAUUGCUCUCAAAACUGCAAGGCUCGAAUUCGGGAGAGGAUAGCGGAAUUGUCAGUGUAGCAGUGAAAUGCGUAGAUAUUGACAGGAACACCAGUGGCGUAAGCGGCUAUCUGGACCGAUAUUGACGCUGAGGCACGAAAGCGUGGGGAUCAAACAGGAUUAGAUACCCGGGUAGUCC